AAAAAGGCAAACCCUGAUUUUCUGUGUACAACUUUAAUUGUCCGUCUUAUAUAAAUUUUUUUUAUAAUUCGUAUUUUCAUUGUUGUUAGAUGAUAAAACAUGAUUAAUGUUUUAUGUGUGACUUGUCUUUUUAAUUUUUUUCAUAAUUUUUUCAAAUAAGACGAACGGUCAAACGUUGGACACGGAUACUAGGGUUUGUUUUUCUU
rfam:Oryza nivara chromosome 2, whole genome shotgun sequence.